rnacentral:tRNA from 1 species
GACCUCGUAGCUCAUUUAGUUAGAUCGUUGGCUGUAAUAAAGCCUUUCUCUUGCUGGCGUGGGUUCGAAUCCCACCGGGGUCC